UGGAUAUUAGCUCAGUUGGUAGAGCAGCACGCUGUUAACGUGACGGUCCCUGGUUCGAGUCCAGGAUAUCCAGCCA
rnacentral:tRNA from 1 species